rnacentral:rRNA from 1 species
AUACGUAGGGUGCGAGCGUUGUCCGGAAUUACUGGGCGUAAAGAGCUCGUAGGUGGUUUGUCGCGUCGUCUGUGAAAUUCCGGGGCUUAACUCCGGGCGUGCAGGCGAUACGGGCAUAACUUGAGUACUGUAGGGGAGACUGGAAUUCCUGGUGUAGCGGUGAAAUGCGCAGAUAUCAGGAGGAACACCGGUGGCGAAGGCGGGACUCUGGGCAGUAACUGACGCUGAGGAGCGAAAGCAUGGGUAGCGAACAGGAUUAGAUACCCUGGUAGUCCAGGCCGUAAACGGUGGGCGCUAGGUGUAGGGGUCUUCCACGACUUCUGUGCCGUAGCUAACGCAUUAAGCGCCCCGCCUGGGGAGUACGGCCGCAAGGCUAAAACUCAAAUGAAUUGACGGGG